rnacentral:lncRNA from 1 species
UGAAAUGGUAUAUUCAUUUGUACAAAAGUUUGCGAUUAAAGAAAUAAGUCUCUUAUUGUGCAGUGAAGAAUCUAAAUUGUGAUUUUCUAGUUAUUCAGAUUUUUUAAAAACUAAUCCUUUUCCAUAUUAAUAUUUUUAAUUUAAAAAUGGUUUCCAAAAAGAGAUUUAAAGGUUGGUUCCCACUAGUGUGGAACUGUGGCAGAAAAUAUGGGCAUGACAAAAGCAUCACAGUUUGGAUGUCAUACCAUGGCAUUAAAACUGCUACCAUCCUGAGUCUAUAUGAAUUCAACUUUACCGUGAUGGUAAAAUCCGUCGAGGCAACGUUCACCAAUCACAUCUAUGCAUUUUAUGAUGUUGAAUAAUUGGCAACUUUGAUUCAAGAUGACGGGAUUCUAUGAUUAAAU